GGCUAUUGGGUAGUCCGCACGAGCGCAAUCCUUGUCCUUAGUUGCCAGCAUCAGUUGGGCACUCUAAGGAGACUGCCGGUGUUAAACCGGAGGAAGGUGGGGAUGACGUCAAGUCCUCAUGGCCCUUAUGUCCAGGGCUACACACGUGCUACAAUGGCCGGUACAAAGGGUAGCGAGACCGCAAGGUUGAGCGAAUCCCAAAAGGCUGGUCUCAGUUCGGAUUGGAGUCUGCAACUCGACUCCAUGAAGUUGGAAUCGCUAGUAAUCGCGGAUCAGCAUGCCGCGGUGAAUACGUUCCCGGGCCUU
rnacentral:rRNA from 1 species